UUUCACACACAUUAGACUGUGAGAGAGAGAGUGAGAUUAGAGAUCGAGGGAGGAUCCGGCCAUCCAAAUCGGCAGAUCUCCGGACAACCUUCAAGUUCGGCACGACGGCGAUGCAUGUCCGCCCAACCUUCAAGUCGGCGGACGGCGAUGCAAGGCCGACCAACCUUUAAGUCCGGCAUGAGGGAGACGCACGGCGGACCGUCCAUAACUUGCAAAUCCUUGUUCAGUAACCAUUAAUACCAAACCUACCCGCAAUGGAUCACGGGACUCUCCAUUGGUUCCGUUGCGUAGCGCCACCCGUUCAGAUCCACCAUUUACAUCGGAGAUACCACAUUUUUUAUGCUUUUAUUGAAAGAAUCUGAAAUGGGUUAUAUUUUUGUUUGUUUAUUUAAUAACUGAUAGGUUUUUUUUUCAAAUCAUAUUUUUUUCUAAUCAAAUAAUCAUCAGGUUGCAUUUUUAGUCUGUUGAAGAAAUUGUAUUAAUGUUGCGGUUGGAAAAGAAAACAAUAUGA
rnacentral:lncRNA from 1 species